CCAAUAGCGUAUAUUAAAGUUGUUGCAGUUAAAAAGCUCGUAGUUGAACUUCGGGAUCAAUGGAUUGGUCAUGCCGAUGGUAUGAACUGGUCAUAUUGGUUCUCACCUUCUAAGGAACCAUGAUGUCAUUUAUUUGAUGUUGUGGGGAAUUAGGACUGUUACCUUGAAAAAAUUAGAGUGUUUAAAGCAGGCUAACGCUUGAAUACAUUAGCAUGGAAUAAUGAAAUAGGACAUCGCAUUCUAUUUUGUUGGUUUCUAGGAUCGAUGUAAUGAUUAAUAGGGAUAGUUGGGGGCAUUAGUAUUCAAUUGUCAGAGGUGAAAUUCUUGGAUUUAUUGAAGACUAACUACUGCGAAAGCAUUUGCCAAGGAUGUUUUCAUUAAUCAAGAACGAAAGUUAGGGGAUCGAAGACGAUCAGAUACCGUCGUAGUCUUAACCAUAAACUAUGCCGACUAGGGAUCGGAUGAUGUUAAUUUUUUAAUGACUCAUUCGGCGCCUUACG
rnacentral:rRNA from 1 species